GGGGACUCCGAAAAUGCAGUCGGCUUAAAAGUUCGCGGACUGGGAAUCGAGAAAGGGAUCUCCGAAAUUCCCCGAUUCCCACUUCCGCAGUUAGAAGAUGUAUAGAGUAGUUUGUUGCGCGAAUCGGGGAAUUUCGGAGAUCCCUUUCUCGAUUCCCAGUCCGCGAACUUUUCAAGCCGACUGCAUUUUCGGAGUCCCC
rnacentral:pre_miRNA from 1 species